rnacentral:lncRNA from 1 species
ACCCUACUCUAAUAAGGUUUUGAUAUCUGGAGCUCAUAGGUGGGAGAUAAAGCAUACAUACUUACAAGACAUUUAUUGCAUAGUCAAACCAUGGAUCCAGAGAAACAAAUUAAUAAGUCAAAUCAAGAUGUGCAUCUGUGGCGAAUGAAUGGUGUAUGGUGAUAACAAUGGUGAAAGUCUAAUUCUACUUUUGCUCUUUUAAGGGGAUACAUACCUUUCUUGCACUUUGAAGCUUUUUGAGGAGAAUGAGAUGCUCUAUAUUUUCUAUUUCUUUUCUCUCAGGUGGGUAUCUUGUACCCCUAAUUCUAAUUUCCAACACUUGUCCAUUUUUACCUCUUGUCUCACUUUUCUUUUCUUCGAGGUUCUGGGCACUUGCCCCUUUUUAUUUCCUCGUAUUUUUCCUUUUUUUUUCAAAGCACUCACCCUCCUAGAAUAAUGUGGCAAGUGGUAGUAACCAAAGUAUCUCGAGCAUUUAUUUCAUAGGGAAUAAGAUGGAUAGGAAAAAGUUUUUGGCUAUUCUCUCCAGGAUAGGAGUAGAAUAAUUUAGGUGAAUCUAGAGACGGAAUUGAGUGGAUGUAUAUGGAUGCGUACUUCAAUAGUAGAAGUAGCAUGUAUAAGUGAACGUGCA